rnacentral:rRNA from 1 species
UACGUAGGGUGCAAGCGUUGUCCGGAAUUAUUGGGCGUAAAGAGCUCGUAGGCGGUCUGUCGCGUCGGCUGUGAAAACCUAGGGCUCAACCCUGGGCCUGCAGCCGAUACGGGCAGACUAGAAUUCGGUAGGGGAGACUGGAAUUCCUGGUGUAGCGGUGAAAUGCGCAGAUAUCAGGAAGAACACCCGUGGCGAAAGCGGCUCUCUGGAACGGUACUGACGCUGAGACGCGAAAGCGUGGGGAGCGAACAGG